GGUAAGAUCCUGGCCCAAGCUGGCCCAAAGCACCACUCACUGGCUACUGGGACUGGUUGAGGGAGUGGAAACCUGACCAAGGCCCUACCCCAGGCCAUUCCAGAUGGAGUUGAAAGAGAAAACAGUUUUCCUCCAAGUGGCAAGACUGAAAGGGGCAUGUGUGCCCUGUCACCGGCCCCGUCCCCAGCAUCUCCUCCUGCCCUGUCCCCCUCACAGCUCUGGCACUCCAAGUGUCAUCUCAGUGGAAGGGUUUCCUGACUCCUCCCCUGGUGGGGGCUGUCCCUCUUCUGUGCUCCUCCAUCACCCUUGCUAUAACACAUGAUAGGUGUUCAAUCAACAUUUUCUGCAGGGAGAGGGAGGGGAGCAGGGCUGAUACAUUUAUUUUUCAAGGACUUGCAUACUAAUAAGAAUAAAGGUAAUACCACAGAUGCCAGUUCAGAACAAAGAAAUUAUCUGGUCACACUAGGCAGCUUGUCUCUCUUCUGAAUAUAGAGAUAUGUAUAUCAUCUUCUGAAAUCAACUCCUUUUUGCAGAAAUGACUUAUUUGCAUUAAAAAUGACUUAUCCCACAUCGUUCCACAUCAUGUUGCACUUGGUUACCUGCAUACAGCAGUGAAGUACAACAGAACCCCAAUUUUUUAUUACUUUAAAACAAUUUUUUUAGAGACAGGGGUCUCACUAUGUUGCCCAGGCUAGAGUGCAGUGGAUUACCACGACUGAGCAGACUCUGUGGGCGCCCUCAUACCACAUGCUGCAGGCAACCACAGCUAGGAUCUUCCUUUUCCUUUCUCCCUUACCGCUGGCACCCAGGACCACAAAAUUCAUUAAAGAAAUGUUUCUCACUGCUUGUGAAUUUGUUUUCCUUUCAGGCAAUGUGAUGACAGGCUAGGUUCUUAUGCUUUAACAGCCCAUCAUGGGAAUUUUUAACUUAAGCAAUUAUAAAAUAAAAAACACAUUAAAUUCUAGUGUUCUGUGGAGUGCUCUAUAGUUUAUCAUAUUAAGUAUUUCUCAAUUAGCUAGAAAAGAGGUUUUUAAAUGUUCCUAACACAAACAUACAAUAAAUGUCUGAGGUGACAGAUAUGCUAAUUACUCUGAUUUGAUCACUACACAUUGUUUCAAAACAUUACUAUGUACUCCAUAAAAAUGUGUCAAUUUUUUAAAAUCUUGUUAAAAAACUGAUUUCAACUUUAUUUUAAAAUAAUUUAGAAGCAUAGUAAUUUCUGGACGUCUAUUUAAUGAAAUGUAAAGAAAGAAUACCAAAUAUCUAACCAUUCAAAGUCAAAAAAUAACAUAGAUCCUACAGAUUGAGUCUAUUUGAAUAGGAGUAAUUUCUAAAAACAAUCAUUAGUUUACUACUUAUUCCUUUGCAUUCAUAUAGUAGCUUCCUAAUACUCAGGUUGAAAACAAGCUUGAUAAGAUCUACUAAUUAAAAUGGUAAAACUGGAACACUGUCCAGUUUUUAAUGUUAAAAUUUAAAAUCCCACAAACUCAAAAUAAAAUUACAAAAAACUAAGGCUGGGUAUACAUUUCUUCAUUUGCUGCUCUGACAUUCAUCAUAAUUAGAUACAGAUAGGAAAUUUUUCAGUCUCUGUAGUACAUACACCAAAUAGACAUGCAACUUGUUGUUGUUGUUCAAGUCUGAAAUUCUCUUUUCAGUUAAUAUAUUUACUGACCUCUUCUGGGACUCUCAUGAUUGAAGAGAAUGCCGUUCACUGCAAAGAGAUUAUACGCCUCACGGAAGUUCACCACAAUCCAAUAGGCAUAGAGUUUUGCUGCCCCUGUUGGAAUAAUUUUUUUUAAGCAAUGAAGUUUGUUGUAAAAGACAGUGAUUCUCACCAUCUUCAACAGUAACAUCUUGGCCGAAAUAAUAACUUGUAAUGCAUCCAAAUACAAAAAAGUAUCAAAACCCAAAGACGAAAUAAAGGUUAUUACACCUGUCAAUCAUGUUCACCAGGAAAUAUUUUAAGAAUUUCUUACUUUUGUAAUGCCAACAGUGCAUUAUUUGACAAUCGAAUUGAUUGAAUCUUUCUUAGAUCUUUUUCUCUCUCAUUCUCUCUCUCUAACUUUUGAGGAAUUAGAAUGGAAAAAAAUGA
rnacentral:lncRNA from 10 species